rnacentral:misc_RNA from 1 species
GAUGAAGAACGUAGCGAAAUGCGAUACUUGGUGUGAAUUGCAGAAUCCCGUGAACCAUCGAGUCUUUGAACGCAAGUUGCGCCCGAAGCCAUCAGGUUGAGGGCACGUCUGCCUGGGCGUCACAUAUCGUUGCCCAAUGCCUAUUGCAGUGCAAUAGGAAUUUCUAGGGCGAAUGAUGGCUUCCCGUGAGCGUUGUUGCCUCGUGGUUGGUUGAAAAUCGAGUCCUUGGUAGGGUGUGCCAUGGUAGAUGGUGGUCGAGUUAGAACGAUACCGAUCAUGUGCAUGCUCCCCAAAAUAUGGCCUCUAUGACCCACACGCGUCUUUUGACGCUCAUGACGAGACCUCAGGUCAGGCGGGGCUACCCGCUGAAUUUAAGCAUAUCAAUAAGCGGAGGA